rnacentral:lncRNA from 8 species
AUGCUGACAAUCCUGAGGAUGGCUCACCCCUCACAAUUCUGGGUGACUUUAUCCUCCCUAUGUCUACCUUUGACUCAUUUCUCUCUGCCUCCUUCUUUCCCCUCCUCUCCUCUUUUGGCCUCACCCUCUCACCGUCCCCCCCUACUCACAAGGCAGGCAAUACGCUUAACCUCAUCUUUACUAGAUGCUGUUCUUCUACUAAUCUCACUGCAACUCCCCUCCAAGUCUCCGACCACUACAUUGUAUCCUUUUCCCUCUCGCUCUCCUCCAACACUACUCACUCUGUCCCAACUCAGAUGGUAUUGCGCCGUCGCAACCUUUGCUCUCUCUCUCCUGCUACUCUCUCCUCUUCCAUCCUAUCAUCUCUUCCCUCUGCUCAAUCCUUCUUCAACCAAUCUCCUGAUUCUGCCUCCUCAACCCUCCUCUCCUCCCUUUCUGCAUCCUUUGACUCUCUAUGUCCCCUAUCCUCCCGGCCGGCUCGGUCCUCCCCUCCUGCUCCGUGGCUUGACGACUCAUUGCGAGCUCACAGAACAGGGCUCAGGGCAGCCGAGCAAAAGUGGAGGAAAACCAGCCUCCCUGCGGACCUGGCAUCUUUUCACUCCCUCCUCUCCACAUUUUCUUCCUGUUUCUGCUGCUAAAGCCACUUUCUACCACUCUAAAUUCCAAGCAUCUGCCUCUAACCCUAGGAAGCUCUUUGCCACCUUCACCUCCCUCCUGAAUCCUCCUCCCCCCCCUCCCUCUCUGCGGGACGACUUUGUCAACCAUUUUGAAAAGAAGGUUGACGACAUCCGAUCCUCGUUUGUUAAGUCAAACGACACUGCUGGUCCUGCUCACAUUGCCCUAACCUAUGCUUUGACCUCUUUCUCCCCUCUCUCUCCAGAUGAAAUCUUGCGACUUGUGACGGCCGCCGCCAAACAACCUGCCCGCUUGAACCUAUCCCCUCCAGACCAUUUCCGGACACCUUCUCCCUUACCUCACCUCGCUCAUCAACUCAUCCUUGACCGCUGGCUACGUCCCUUCCGUCUUCAAGAGAGCGAGAGUUGCACCCCUUCUCAAAAAACCUACACUCGAUCCCUCUGA